rnacentral:misc_RNA from 1 species
CUAUUAUAUAGUACUCAGACAUCACUAAUAUCAGGAGUUGGGUCCUCUGGCGGGCACUCCCCAGCGGGAGCCGAGGGCAGAUGCGGCCCGCCAAAGCAACGAUGGUAAAGUUCACAAAGGGUGUAGGGUUGAGCCGCCAUCUCCCUCCCUACACGAUCGGGUUUCCCCUCUCAAGUGCAAUUGGGAGGUCUGUACGACCCCUUUUGAGCACGGUGUCGGGACGCACCCGUGAGGGCACGCCUCGCCGACGGUGUGCUGUGUAAUGAUCCUUCCGCAGGUUCACCUACGGAAACCUUGUUACGACUUUUACUUCCUCUAAAUGACCAAGA